rnacentral:misc_RNA from 1 species
GUACUACGCCACCCCCACCUCCGCCACCCAAGGCAGCUGGUUUUGCUUCGUCUUCAAAAAUACCUCCGGUGGCUGAAGGGAUGCCAAAUAAGGGUAAACCAGGGGAGUCUUCAACUGGAGAAGGCAGGGCAGGAAACGGGAAUGGCCAGGUAAAACUGAAGCCAUUGCAUUGGGAUAAAGUAAACAAGAAUACUGAUCAUUCCAUGGUGUGGGACAAUAUUGGUGGUGGCUCCUUCAGGUUCGAUGACGAUCUAAUGGAAGCCCUGUUUGGAUCCGUUGCCACCAACCGAAGAUCCCCCAAUGAAGGAGUCAUAAGCGAUCCAAAGAACCAGAAAGGAAGCCUACCAGCACAAAUUGCUAUUCUUGAUGUCAGGAAAUCCCAGAACAUAGCAAUUGUGCUCAAAUCUCUAGGCAUCUCACGGGAAGAAAUACUUGAUUCCUUAACUGAUGGACAAGGUCUGAAUGCAGAGACACUUGAAAAGCUAAUGAGAAUUGCUCCAACCAAAGAAGAAGAAUUUCAAAUUCUUGAAUUCGAUGGAGACCUCAGUAGACUUGCAUAUGCUGAGUUUUUCCUCUACAAUCUCUUGAAAGCUGUUCCAUCAGCCUUUACUCGCCUUGAUGCUAUGCUUUUCAGACUAAAUUAUGAUUCAGAGAUCCUCCAGUUCAAAGAAUCUUUGCAAACACUUGAAUUAGGCUGCAAGGAGCUUAGAAAUAGAGGACUCUUCAUUAAACUUUUAGAAGCAAUCCUCAAGGCUGGUAAUCGCUUGAAUGCAGGGACUUCAAGAGGAAAUGCACAAGCAUUCAAUUUAACUUCUCUUCGAAAGUUAUCCGAUGUUAAAAGCACCAAUGGAAAAACUACUCUACUUCAAUUUAUUGUUGAGGAGGUUGUCCGUUCAGAGGGAAAACGCUGUGUAAUCAACCGAAACCGAAGCUUGAGUCGAAGCAGCAGCAGAAGCAGCAAUAGCAGCAUAAGUUCAGCUAAUGCAGCAUCAAGGGAGGAAAGGGAGAAGGAAUAUAUAAUGCUGGGAUUACCAAUGGUAGGAGGUCUCAGUUCUGAAUUCUCUAAUGUAAAGAAAGCAGCCCAAAUAGAUUAUGAGGCCUUUGCAGGCACUUGCUCAGCUCUCACAGCUCGCAUAGCAGAAGUUAGGAUGACCACGUCGCAGUGUGCUGAUAAUGGGGAAGGAGCAUUUGCAAGAGAGAUGAAAGGUUUUAUUGAAGCAGCAGAGGAAGAACUUAAGGUUUUGAAAGAUGAGCAAAUGAGGACAAUGGAGCUUGUAAAGAAAACAACAGACUAUUAUCAAACAGGAGCUUCCAAGAACAAAGAAUCACAUCCACUUCAACUAUUUCUCAUAAUUAAAGACUUCCUAAACAUGGUUGAUCACGUCUGCGUCGAAAUUGCUCGAAAUGUCCAAAAAAGGAAAACACCCUCUUCAAGUCUUGGCUCCUCACCCAAGUCACCAGCAGCAUCACCGAUGCCAGUGAGGUUCCCAAACUUGCCUGAACAUUUCUUUCAGGAAAAAUCUAGUAGCAGUUCAAGUGGAUCAGACACUGAUUUUUGAGCUUAUAUUUAAAUCAUCUAAUGUAUAUAGUUGUUGUACAAAAAAUUCAAGGUGUAAAAAAUCAUAGGAGAGUGAUUUUUGAAAUCAUCAAAUUGUUUGCUAAACCUUGGCAAGUUUUAGUGAAUAGAUUCCAAGUUUUUGCUUUGCUAGUCUAUUUCAUUAGUCUUUGUAAGUACCUUUGGAGAGCUUAUAUAUGAUGGAUUAUCU